UGAGAACUGGUUUUCGUGGACUGGUUUCCAUUUAGUCUUCUCAGUCCAUAAUGCUCAGUUUUCCA
rnacentral:pre_miRNA from 1 species